rnacentral:rRNA from 1 species
AAUAGAUACCCGGGUAGUCCAUGCCGUAAACGUUGGGCGCUAGAUGUGGGGACCAUUCCACGGUUUCCGUGUCGCAGCUAACGCAUUAAGCGCCCCGCCUGGGGAGUACGGCCGCAAGGCUAAAACUCAAAGGAAUUGACGGGGGCCCGCACAAGCGGCGGAACAUGCGGAUUAAUUCGAUGCAACGCGAAGAACCUUACCAAGGCUUGACAUAUACGAGAACGCUCUAGAAAUAGAGAACUCUUUGGACACUCGUAUACAGGUGGUGCAUGGUUGUCGUCAGCUCGUGUCGUGAGAUGUUGGGUUAAGUCCCGCAACGAGCGCAACCCUCGUUCUAUGUUGCCAGCGGUUCGGCCGGGAACUCAUAGGAGACUGCCGGGGUCAACGUCGGAGGAAGGUGGGGAUGACGUCAAAUCAUCAUGCCCCUUAUGUCUUGGGCUUCACGCAUGCUACAAUGGCCGGUACAAAGGGCUGCAAUACCGUAAGGUGGAGCGAAUCCCAAAAAGCCGGUCUCAGUUCGGAUUGAGGUCUGCAACUCGACCU